UUCGUAUCAUUCCCCUCCUGUCCACAUAGACCCCUGUGGCAUUUGGUAUGGAGGUAGGGACCUACAGGGUGCACGGGUGGUUUUCCAUGCAAGGGAGCCACACCACAGUGGAGAUCAUCUCUGCAUUUGAAAAAUACACAUUGAAGAGCAGUCACCCUCUGGACCUGAAUGGACACAUGGAGACACACAGCAAGCCUGCUGCAAGUACAGCUGUCCCACCCCCUGCAAGUACUUUGCCUUUAAAAGAAAAGAAGGAUGCCACUCAUGCCAGCUCUCCCUAAGCAACAUUGGCACUGCUUCAUGUCCUGGUGCUUGUCUCAUUAAGGACAGAAUGAAGAGAGGCAAGCAUUGAGUGAGUGAGAGGCUGCUCUUUCUGGUGUCUGAGGUGGUGCCUCUAAGCUAUGUCUCAGCCGUGACAGUGGGAAACUUGCUGCUGGUGGCCACAGUCUUCCUCAGCUGGGGAGCAAUGUCCCACAGUCCACCUCACCCUGGCUUCAGGGCCAGUCCCAGUGUGGAGUGAUGCUGAUGCUUUGCCCUGCUUGAGCCCCUUGGACUGUAUUUUAGAGACUGCCCUGCUUGUGGCAAAAAUGCCUUUUGUGGGCCCUCACCUGCCUUCCUUUAUGUUCCCAGAGGAUGCACAGACUCAGUCUGGCUGGCUAACCCCAAGCAAGACACCAUCCUCACCCCUCAUCUCCACUGAGCACCCUUCACAGCUGCUCCAGUUUAAUCACUAUCUCUCAGCAUUUGAUUUCUUGACUAGAAUUUAUAGUAUCACAGAAAUUGCUGUAUUAUUCCUUAAUAUUAUGAGCUGGAAUAGAUCAUCAUGGACAUACUUCAGAGGUAUGGCGAGAGGUGCCUGCACCAAAAGCUGUACAUGCUUUCCCUUCGAGAAGCUGGCCUUGUGCAUAGGGAACAGGUAUUUUCUCCAGAAUAACUAUGUAAAACAGUAUGAAACCUUGUGGGCAUGAGAGUUGAAAAAUAUAUGAACAAUUAAAAACUAACCCCUGUACUGGUGUUGCUUAUUCUAAUCUGUUGAAGAUAAAGCACUGAUGAGAUACUGGGGACUCUGAAAUGGAGAUAUUUGAAGCCAGAAUAGGGAGAGCAUGCAAAGGGAAAGCUACAGGCAUGGUUAAAGGCUAUGUAACCAGCAGGUAUCAGGGGCUGGAGCCUGCUCUUGUUUAAACUCAUAUACUGCCAGCAGUGUCAAUUAAAUGAUGCAGAUUUACACCAGCACAGAAUCUUGUCUGAAGUCCGCUCUCUGCCUCACGCACAUGAGAAAGUGUUUACAGGGCAACUACCACUGUUCUUUAAGGAAAUUGCAUCUGCUCAUUUUUACAUUGGGUCUAUCCAUAUGUAACUACAUGCAUUUCAACGGGUUACUUCUGAUUUACACUGCAGGCAUCGUGCAUUUCCCUAGACCAACAUUAACUAUUUAUUGAUCUUCCCAGUACCCCUGUGAGGAAGGCUAUUAUUCCCAUCAUAUAGACAAACAAGGAUUACAUUUUGGAGACUGUCUGGAUCUGGUGCACACAUCUGAACCUCUUUUGCCAUCAAUUACACUUCUUACAGCUCUUAUGUUCCUCCAUUUUACCCCCCGUCACCAUAUGUGUGCAGGAGAAUGGAGAGGAAAAACAGCACAAACAAUAAUCCAGGUCUAAAUGCAAGGUAAGUCUCUCAGGCUUAUUUCACCUGAUUUCUCUUUUUUAUAAACACAAAAAUCUCUCAGACUUCUUAAAUUUGCAGAGAGCUGUUUCCAAGCCUGGCUGGUGUUCUGUUUGAUGUCUCAGACUGCACCUGGAGAUGGGGUGAAUUUUUGGGGGUGUGUGGAGUAUGGGGUUGCACCAGCAGCAGGCAGUUGGGCAGCCCCACAGCCUCGCUGCUGUCAGCUUGGGGACUGAUGGGGUGGUGGGUGGCUGCAGAAAAUAUGGGCUGGUAUUAGCAUGUGCUUGGUGUGGAAAGGGAACAUGGUUGCUGUGAAUUAGUAAGCGGGAUGUUAAAGCUUGAUCCAAAGCACACUGAGUGCAGCAUUAAGUCUCCCCUGGACUUCAAUGUACAUUGCAUCAGGUCUUUAAUAACAUAAUUCUUCAGUACGAGGUGAAGAAAUCUCUCAACAGCACAGUUACUGUUUCUUGAUAUACUCUAAGAUGCCUGGAUCUCCCGCUCUGCCUGCAUGCCUGCCAUGCGCCAACCAAAAUUACCAGCACUGCACUGUCUAUGAUACUUCAGAGUUUCAGCCAUUCAACAGACCUAACCAAAUCUCCAGGAGACCCCGAGCCCAAGAUCCUAAUCUUUUUGCUCGGGCACUGGGGCAUGACUUCCUUAGUUUGUCCCUGACAAGCAGUACGCUGCACCCUGCAUUGGCAUUUCACGGUCCCCUGACUCCCAUGUGUGGGAUUUCCUAUUGCUACUUUCUUUCCAGUUCCCUUCUCCCUCUGGAAGGAGGCGAUGGAGCUGAGUUUCUCUGAGCUGCCAGACAGGAAACCCUAACUCAGAGUCGGGCACGUGAGAGGUCCAGCAAAGACAGCCCCAGCUCUCUUCACUGGCCCAGGCAUGCUGGAGUGGAGUACAAGUUGACAAACAGAAUAAAUACAAUUGGCACCUGAUUUAUUGAUUACACCCCUUCUGAAGACAGGCCCUCUACCGAGAUGAGAUUCGUAACAUAUCACAUCACUUAAAUGAGCCCUGAAGCGUGUCCUUGGUCACAUUUUCACCACUGGUGUUUUCAUGAGGCACCAACAUUUUUAGGUUUUCCAUGUGUGUGAUCCUUCCCAUGGUAUGAGCCAGUGCACCCCACUGGUACUGGAUCAGAGUUCCUCAAAAGGCAGAAUUCAUGACCUGCAGAAAAUUCAGGUAUUUCAACACUGUGAUUCUUGUCAACUUCAGUGGGACUGUCCCACAGCUCAGGGUUUCAGAGCUGAGCUAUAUUUUGUGACAAGCUCUAGUAAAUGGUUCAGCUUGCUUUGGUGAUGCUUCUGCAUGCCAGACUGGGAGAUGCAGCAGCACACACACAAACAUGUAGGAAAGCACUAACAAUAAAUGUUGCAACCUCUGGUAUUAGCACAUUUUAGGAAUGAAUGUAUUUCCUAGAUAGGCAGAAUUUUAUUUUUGUCACUUUGAAAAUGCUUGUGUAUUGGGAUGAACUCCAGUUGCAAAGAAUAUCAAUCAGAUCUUUUUAUGAAUAAAGUGAUCUGCUAUAGAGAUCUUUCAUCAAAUGACUUCAUUUACAGAGUCACCCUAUUUUACCCAUCUUGCUUUGAGAAGACAUUAGCUUGAUUUGGUUUUGUUGCCAAUGAUAUAUCUUCUCUUUCGUUUAGUUUUGCUGAUCUUACUCCUAUCACUCUUCUU